rnacentral:rRNA from 1 species
UAAUACGGAGGGUGCGAGCGUUAAUCGGAAUUACUGGGCGUAAAGAGUGCGUAGGUGGUUGGAUAAGUUAUCUGUGAAAUCCCUGGGCUUAACCUGGGCAGGUCAGAUGAUACUGUUUAACUCGAGUAUGGGAGAGGGUAGUGGAAUUUCCGGUGUAGCGGUGAAAUGCGUAGAGAUCGGAAGGAACACCAGUGGCGAAGGCGGCUACCUGGCCUAAUACUGACACUGAGGCACGAAAGCGUGGGGAGCAAACAGG